rnacentral:lncRNA from 1 species
AGGACACAGGGCUGGGUGGAGGCGAUCCUGAUUCACUCUACUGUUUCGACAAAGGAAAGUCGCCCGGAGGGCUUGCAUCUGAAUCCCACAAACGCGCCAUGCUUUAUAUCAAAUUAAUCAAAAAGAUUAACUCGUCUUUGUUGACCCCACACCUGGGAAAUUGUGGUGGGAGCUGGCUUAUUGGAGCAGCGCUGUCCAUUUACAGACGGUUCACAGGCAAGGCUUUGGAGGUUGAAAACUACUUUGGAAGACAGUGGCUGACCUUCCUGCACACAUGAUGGAUGACUGGGGCACCUGCAGAGAGGAAUUGAAGUUGAUUGGGAACCUUUUCUCAGAGCAUUGGAGCGGAUUCUCAACUACCUAGGAGGCUCCAGACAGCAGAGGCAUCUACCUAUCUUAUCUAUUGACGUCAAGUGUUCUUGAAGGCACAUUUGUUGGUGGCACAAGAAAUUCAGCAGAAAUGAGCCUUGGUAAAGAAUAAUGUCCCUAAGAACUUGCUCCUCCAAUAACCAUGGCAGAAAGCACCUGGGAAGUUUCUUACAAUGCAGUCCUCAGCUCCUGCCUGCCUAGAAGUCCUGCUCCAGUGCUGCCUAGAGUCCAUGUUUUAACAGAAACAGUGUUAGUUUCCUGGGCACUUUGGGUGGGAAUGAGCUCUGAGCUGGAGAAUGUUCAGGCUCUCUGCAUACAGAUCUACCUAGGGAAUUUUUCAUAGCCCUGGGUCCAGACCACACCCCAGAUGCACGGAUCCAGAAUGCCUGGAGGAGCAGGGAGGCUGGCUGCAGUAUAGUUCCCCAGGAUACCAGGGCCUAGGAACUCUUCUAGGCUUACCUGCCAGGUUUGGCUCCCCCGACCCUACAUCUCCAUCUCCCUGCAUACCUGCUAAUCAUGAUCUUUACCUGGUUUCCGUCUCUGCUGUGCAUCGAGAAGCUUUCACCUGCCUUCUACACUCUGUGUCCUCACCCUCUGCUCUGCAGCUUCCCCUUGCUCUCCUGCUCGUCCUCUGUGGCUUUCAGCAGGGCUGUAUCUCAGUAUCCUGGCCAGUGGCUGGGCUAUCAUCUCCUCCUGUCUGGAUCCUACCCUCCUCAGUGUGCUGUGGACUGCCUUUCAACACAUGCUGGCAGCAGGCAUCUCCAGAGUUGACACUUUACCAUCCCUGUCACUUCUUCCAUCCUUCCUCUGAC